UACGUAGGGUGCGAGCGUUGUCCGGAAUUACUGGGCGUAAAGAGCUCGUAGGUGGUUUGUCGCGUUGUUCGUGAAAACCUGAGGCUUAACCUUGGGCGUGCGGGCGAUACGGGCAGACUGGAGUACUGCAGGGGAGACUGGAAUUCCUGGUGUAGCGGUGGAAUGCGCAGAUAUCAGGAGGAACACCGGUGGCGAAGGCGGGUCUCUGGGCCGUAACUGACGCUGAGGAGCGAAAGCAUGGGGAGCGAACAGG
rnacentral:rRNA from 1 species